AGGGAAUCACCAUCUCAGUAGUCAGUACUGACAUGAAUUAACAAACUUUACUAAAAUUGUCCGUUUAUAAAUUUUGAAAUUAUUAAGAAACUAAGGUUUCAACUCCCACAGGCAAAGUUGGCUUUAGAUGAUUUUGGCUAUUUAUUCUAGGUAUUUUUGACAUAUAGCUCUUCAAUGGUUUCGGUACUUAUACAUCUUCGGAUUUCAAUUGUUUUGGUUUGAGCGUUCCUGAUAAAGGUAAAUCCAGAAAAGUGCUUCGAACGCAAGAAAUUAUUCAACGUGUUGUUUUCGAUUUUUUAUACGAAAUUACAUUUCCA
rnacentral:lncRNA from 1 species